AGAAGGCGCAGCGCGUCAUUUGUGCUGCUGUAAGUGAUGCCUGAGGGUGAAGCAGAAACUUGCUGAGAGGCAAAGUGGUUUUCUCCAACUUUGGGUGAGAAUUCUAUCUCAGAAUUCAAUUUCAAAGACCUCAGCUCCUGUGGGCUUUCCAGCACUGCAGAGACUGAAGUGCUUGGAGGGUUAUCAGUGAGGAAAUGGAAGAAAUGAGGCCGGUGACUUGUUCCCCGUGUCCCCAUGUAUGACCAGAAGGCACAGCCAGCGUUUGCAGUUGUCCCUGGUAAAACUCUUCUGAGUCAGAUUCAAAUGAAUCCCUGAGCCCAGCUGAAAGGCGUGCUCCGCAAACCAGGAGCCUUGCCUUGUUCCAAGCAGAACCUAUAAUUCUGCAAUUCAGACAUAACAGCAGUUUGUAGGAGUAUCCCAAAGAGGACCGUGGCUGCUCGUCCUUCUUCCUGCAGCUCCCAGGAAAGACCAAUGUGAAGAAAACUUUUCCAUGCCUGUGAGAGUCAAUCUGUGGCAACUGGUGUGUCUAAUUUCAGAGCAGAAGUACUUCUGAAGGAGAGAGGAUUAAAACGGGAGGGGAGAAGUUCCCCUGCGGGAGAUUGUCAACAGAUGUUCCAUUAUAGUUCAAAGAGCCUUAGCAAAAGGCUUCUGCUGCAGCUGUGACCACCGCUCGUCUGAUCGAGAUCAUGCUGGUGUUGUGGUUCAGGGAGUUAUUUGGCUGAUGGGUCUUUCAAAAGAAAAAUGAUUGCAGAGGAACUGAGGCUAACCAUUGUUGAACUGCUGGUGCAUGAGGAGCAGACCUGGGCUAAGGACUUCUUUCAAGUGUAUUCACUAGGCAGGAAGUGGGACUGAGCACACAGAAGGCUGUGCAGGCUGCCAUGCAGAUCAGUGCAUUGAUUGCUUUGUCUGUAAAACGCACAAAUCUAUCAAGUUUGACACCGUCUGGCAUCCUAUGUUUCCUUUGUGUUAAUAGUUAAUGAUUGCUUAUAAAAACCUAUUAAUAUUAGAAGAUCUGCUGUGGCAGAGGAUGCAGUUUGCGAGCUGUGUAUCCCCAGCCUCAAUGGAAAUGUCCUAUUCCGGCUGAUGAUGGUGCUCUGCAUUGUGACACCGUCCUCAAGUUGUGCUUUGGGGAAGAGUUGGUUUUCUCACAUCUGUGAGGAAACAGCAUUUGUGCGUGGAAGUACAGCCAUGCAAACAUGGUUGUAUGGGGAAGUUGGAAGACUUUGAUCAUCUUAUGGAGUUCUGGAGAAUUAGCAGUAAAGCAAAAAAACCCACAGUUUAGGAAGCCUAAUAUUGACAGAAACUUAUGUUAGUGGUCAUGGUGUUCCAGCUUUGCUUACUGCUCGGAGACAAAUGAGCAGGACCACACAUUUGGCUGUUCCAUGAUCAGCAACCGUGUGAUUUCUUGACUUUGUAGGGGAAGGAAGGGAGGACUGAAGAUCCCACUCUGCAGCGAAGCAGAGCAGCAGUUGGAUGGGAACAUCUCUGGCAGAGGUUCAGGAGGCACACUUAGUAAAACUCCUCUCUCUUCCCCCAUGAGAAAUCUGCAGUUACUGAAUUGAGUGUAGUUAUAGAUAAUUGAGUAUAAAUAACGUGGAGACAU
rnacentral:lncRNA from 7 species